GACGAACGCUGGCGGCGUGCUUAACACAUGCAAGUCGAGCGGUAAGGCCCUUUCGGGGGUACGACGAGCGGCGAACGGGUGAGUAACACGUGGGUGACCUGCCCUCAGCUCUGGGAUAAGCCUGGGAAACCGGGUCUAAUACUGGAUAUGACUCCAUGACGCAUGUUGUGGGGUGGAAAGCCUUGUGCGGCUGAGGAUGGGCCCGCGGCCUAUCAGCUUGUUGGUGGGGUGAGGCCUACCAAGGCGACGACGGGUAGCCGGCCUGAGAGGGCGACCGGCCACACUGGGACUGAGACACGGCCCAGACUCCUACGGGAGGCAGCAGGUGGGGAAUCUUGCGCAAUGGGCGAAAGCCUGACGCAGCGACGCCGCGUGAGGGAUGACGGCCUUCGGUUGUAA
rnacentral:rRNA from 1 species